AGGGGAAUAUUGCACAAUGGGGGAAACCCUGAUGCAGCGACGCCGCGUGAACGAAGAAGGUAUUCGUAUCGUAAAGUUCUGUCCUAUGGGAAGAUAAUGACAGUACCAUAGAAGAAAGCUCCGGCUAAAUACGUGCCAGCAGCCGCGGUAAUACGUAUGGAGCGAGCGUUGUCCGGAAUUAUUGGGCGUAAAGGGUACGCAGGCGGUUUAAUAAGUCGAAUGUUAAAGAUCGGGGCUCAACCCCGCAAAGCAUUGGAAACUGAUAAACUUGAGUAGUGGAGAGGAAAGUGGAAUUCCUAGUGUAGUGGUGAAAUACGUAGAUAUUAGGAGGAAUACCAGUAGCGAAGGCGACUUUCUGGACACAAACUGACGCUGAGGUACGAAAGCGUGGGGAGCAAACAGG
rnacentral:rRNA from 1 species